UGAUGGUGUGAAUUAAUUAUGUUUGG
rnacentral:piRNA from 1 species